UGGCGAGCUCCUCUCUGCCCCUACGAUUUCCAUGGCUGCGAGCUCCCCCCUGGACGCCAUCUUCCCCAGCCAUGGAGCCGUCCAGCUCCCAUCUCCUCCCUGUUGUUCACGUGCAGGAGGCAAGGUUGAAGAAGGCGCCUUGUCUCAAUGACGUGUGGGCCCAAGGCAGGGUAAGGGUGUUUCAAAAUUCCAGAUUUUUGCUAUUUCUUCACAAAUGCAUAUCUCGAGUUUUAGAGCUCCUAAAAUCGCGAAACUUGUUUUGUUGCCUUUCUUAUGAAAUUCUCUAACUAUUGGAUCUAUAUGUUGAUAGGUUUUAGUGGAAAAGUUUUAGUGUAAAAAUUCGUAUUUAAAAACUGGUUUAGAGAAUAAACGAACUUGCUUCUCUCCAUAAAUUUAUUUAUAAAAAUCCAAAAAUGAUGAAACCUGUUUUGUUAGUUAGAUGUUGUUAUACUCUAUCAAGGAAAAAUAUAAAACUUAUAUGUCGUUCACUGAUUUCUUGGUGUGCUAAUUAAAUCAUGAUAAAUAGGAAAAAGAAGAUUUAUUUGCUUGUUAUUUUUGGAUCUGUAGCUCUAUUGCUCCAAAUGGGUUGAAAUUUUUACAGUAGACUCUUGGUGUGAUGCUUAGUGGCUGGUAAAAAGUUCAUGAAUUGUUGUCUAUGUAUGAUUAAGUUAGUGAUUUAACUUGUUUAAUGCACCUUGAGUAGUUUUAAAUGGUUUAUAAAUAAUGUAUGAGUGUAAAAAUGGAAAAUGGUGUUCCACCGUCCUUGCAUUAUAUUAUAUUUAGCCUAAAAAACUUAAUAUAGCCAUGCAUCCACAGAAAAUAAUUAGUUUUAGAUUUAACUUGCUCUCACAUGCUUUAUUGCAUUAACAAUUUGUUAUUUUGUAUUAAAUAAAAUAUAAAACCUGGGCAUGUGAAAUUUAUACAUUGGUCAUGAUUUGUUAUUAACUAUGCCUCAUAAAAAUUCCAACCCUAAAUUAGAUAGUUUCAUAUGGUGCUAAAAUGACACACGUUUUAUAAUUAUAAGAAGAAUUAGAGACAAAUUGGAAGUAAACAAAAGCGUGCAUGUUUCUUAAAAUGAUUAAGUGUCUUGAUAUAAAUUGAAACUUGAUAACUAAGUCAUAAUGAUUUAAACUUGAGAAAUUGGUGGUAGUACCUCUCUAUGAUUUUGCUUGGUAAUUUAGUUGAGUGCUCUCGUGCUUGCUAACUUAAAUUCCUGUGUGAACAGUGUUGGUUGUGCUCUCGAUUUCGAGUAGACACAUCGAGUGGUCAAGUAGGCUCGUAAUACAAGUUGUGUAAGGAAGUUAGUUCAUUUUAGAAUGAUUGUUGAAAUGCUCUGUUCAUGAGAUGGACAUGUAGGGUUAUUUUGAAUCGAGUCAAUGUGGUGUGAUGAUGAUAUUCGUGAUGAAACUGGAAGUCAUGUGUUUGCGUAGUAAAGCUUAGUUUUAAAUUGCAAGCGAUGCGGGAAAAAUUUUAGUAAAUAUAUAGGUGAAAUGUGAAUAAGUUGUUCUGAGUAUGCGGUAUAUGGUGUAGUGGUGGUAUGAAAAAUAGGUUAGCACGCAAUUGGCUAGUUGGCGAGUUCGAUUGGAAUUGUUUAGUUAAUUUGAUUUAUAAGGUGAAGUGAUGGCAUGACUUUGUAACCAUCACGCCAUCGGUUAAAUAACUAUAAUUAAGUGUUAAAAACAGCUAGAGUAGCAAGUGGAUGGUAAUUGUAAAGGCUAGGUGGAAAAUGAAGUGAAAUAUUGUCGUAGUUAGGACUGCACGCGCUGUUUUCGUCGUGCUAUUUUUUUAAUGAACUAAAUUGUGUUUUCUGUAGAAACGCCAUAUAAAAAAGUUAUAGAUAACUAUAUUAUCUUACUUGUGUUAAAAUUUGAUAGCCAUAAGUCUGAUCGUUUAGAAGUUGUGCUUUCUACAAAUUCAGUAACUGAAUCUGUCCAAUUUCUGUACAGAUUUCAGAAACUGCAUUGUUUGCUUAAGUUAUUUUUAGAAUCAGUCCUCGUCGAUUAUAAGAAAGUUGUAUAUGCUUUUCUUAUCUUGCUUGUGUUAAAAUUUCACAACCAUAGGCCUGAGAGUUUAAGAGUUAUGAAUUUUACAAACUGGUUGAUGUGUUCUGUCCACUGUCAGAACAGAUUUCGAAAACUGUAAUGUUUGAUUUGAUUAAACCUGGAAUCAUUUCUUGGUGAUUAUAAAAGUUAUGUAGUGCUUUUGCCAAGCUUUCCAAAAAGUUUUGGAUCACUCUUUUUGGUGGUCUGAAGAUUAAGUUAUGGAUGUUUAAAGUGUGAAAACUGAAUCUGUCCAGUUCUGGACAGCAAAGUCUUCUAGUGUCUUUUAUUCUUAGUUAAAUAUUGAAUCACUUUGAGAUGCUUAUAAAUGAUAUCUAGACAAUUUAAUUAACUUUCCAGAAAGUCUAGGAUCAAUUUGUUUGGAUGUCUGAAUCUUUAGUUAUGAAUUUUUAAAGUUGCAAGUAUGAAUCUGUCCAAAUCUGGACAGAGCUGUUGUGCUAGCACUAUUUGACCUUGUUAAGUGUCUAGUCACCUUGUGAUGACAAUACCAAAGUUGUAGAGCACUUUUUAAGAUUUUCAGAAAGUCUAAGAUCACUUUGUUUGGAUGUCUGAAUCUUUAGUUGUAAAUUUUUGAAGUAGCAAGUCUGAAUCUGUCCAAAUCUGGACAGAGUUGUUGUAUUAGCAUGUUUUGACCUUGCUAAGUGUUGAAUCAUAUUGUGAUGACAAUACCAAAGUUGUAGAGUACUUUUUAAACUUUCCAGAAAGACCUAGUUUGCUAUUUUUGGAUUACUAUUUGAAAAGUUAUGAUUAAAACAAGUAACUGCUGUGUUGCUGUCCAAAAAUCUGCUUGUGCUCAAAUGAAUGUUUAGUUCACCCUUGUGGCUAAAAAAAUGCGUAGUUAGCACUUAACGGACAUAGACUUGUAAUGGCUAAACUUAGAUUAACAUGUGUUCCAUGAUUAAUGUGCUCGCUUGCUGUAGUUGAUUGUGAUAUAGGAGUUCCAUAGACAUUGAUGCAUAGGUCCUCUGUUAAACUUGUGUUUGGGAUGCUUUUGUGUGAUUAAUAGAAGAACUAAUGAAAAGCCGUAAUAAUUAAACAAAUGCUUGUACUUGUGAUGUCGUGUUGCGUUGGUUAAUUAUAGGUAUUAAUCGUCGUCCUUCCAGUGGUGUUGAUGUUGUGCGCUCGAUGAAGUGUAGAUAUCUAAUUCUAACAUGUGGUUGUUUACGGUGUCUUACAAUUUAGUGUUGGGUCGCUACCGUGUAUUUGUAUAUCUUGUGAUAACUUUUCAUUAUAUUCAUACAUAUGCAUCUUGCAUCUCAUUUAGGACCGAGAGAUGAUGAUCAUGCAAGUGAUGUGGUGCCAACCACAAGAUGCAGUUGGUGGAUGACCUGAAGAAUGGACUUAACCAGUGGAUGCUCGCCAAGCGAGUACCCAC
rnacentral:lncRNA from 1 species